CCGCAAGGGAUGAGUAGAGUGGCAAACGGGUGAGUAACGCGUGGGUGACCUGCCUUCGAGCGGGGGAUAACGUUCCGAAAGGGACGCUAAUACCGCGUAAUAUCCUGCCUUUCAAGAGGUGGAGAUCAAAGCUGGGGAUCGCAAGACCUGGCACUCGAAGAGGGGCCCGCGUCCGAUUAGCUAGUUGGUGAGGUAACGGCUCACCAAGGCGACGACCGGUAGCCGGCCUGAGAGGGCGGACGGCCACACUGGGACUGAGACACGGCCCAGACUCCUACGGGAGGCAGCAGUGGGGAAUUGUUCGCAAUGGGCGCAAGCCUGACGACGCAACGCCGCGUGGAGGAUGAAGACCUUCGGGUCGUAAACUCCUUUCGAUCGAGACGAAUGGCCUCCGGGUGAACAAUCCGGAGGAAUGACGGUACCGAGAGAAGAAGCCCCGGCUAACUCCGUGCCAGCAGCCGCGGUAAUACGGGGGGGGCAAGCGUUGUUCGGAAUUACUGGGCGUAAAGGGCUCGUAGGCGGCCAACUAAGUCAGACGUGAAAUCCCUCGGCUUAACCGGGGAACUGCGUCUGAUACUGGAUGGCUUGAGUUUGGGAGAGGGAUGCGGAAUUCCAGGUGUAGCGGUGAAAUGCGUAGAUAUCUGGAGGAACACCGGUGGCGAAGGCGGCAUCCUGGACCAAUACUGACGCUGAGGAGCGAAAGCCAGGGGAGCAAACGGGA
rnacentral:rRNA from 1 species